AUGAAUCCCAUCCAGGGCGGGGCCUCUGGGUCUCGCUUCUCCGUGACCACCACGCAACCGCACACACUUUGCUGGGAAAUGAAAACGAGACGAGGGUCUGGGGGCGCGACUGGCUCCAGAUGCGGCUGCGGGGCGGUCAGAGGCCGGGCACCGAGGCUUUCGGGCCUCCGCGGCGGCCGCGUCCCCCAGGGCGCCCCCCUCCUCCCUCGCGACCUGGGGCAGCGGCGCCCCCCGCGCGGCCUCGCGUCGCCCGCAGGCCCGACUCGCCCUGUCCUCGCGCUCCCCCGCCCCGAGCCUGGGUCGGCCCCGAGCCCCCUCCCCAGCCGCGGCGUGAGAAGCGGGGCCACCCGAGCCGCCCACCGGCUGCACACAAAGCCCCCCACGGGGCCGCGGCGGUCCCGCUCCCGGGGCUCAGAGAGCAGCGCCCCGCGCUCCCGCGCCCACCGCCCCCGCCCCCACCCCACGCCCCUGGGGAGGCGACGAGCCGGGGGGAGACCCGGCGCACCGGAGCACCCCCCAGCAGGGCCCUCGGCCCGGCCGACGCUCUCACCUCCAAAGAACGGGCGGCGCCGCCUGCGGAGGAGGACGGCGGGUGGGGAAUACUCGCACCGGGUCGGGCCGCGCAGGGACCCGGUCCGGAAGGACGCGCGGCUGGGAGCGCUCACCCCGGCCCCGCGCGGCCGCGCCGCCUCCUCAGAAGGGAGGCCUCUACCGUCCGGCUCCGGACCUGCAGCUGACGGGGGCGCGGGCGCGCGGGCGCGCGCUCCCGAUGGCCCCGCCCCGUCCCGCCGGCCCCGCCCCAUCCCGUCCCGCCCCCCGUCCCGUCCGGUCCUGCCGGCCCCGCCCCGCCCCCGUCCCGCCCCCCGUCCCGCUCCGUCCCAGCGGCCCCCGUCCCGCCCCGCCCCGCCCCGCCCCGCCGGCCCCGCCCCGCCGGCCUCCCCUUCGCCGCCGGCUCCCUCCCCUCCUCCCCGGCCGCGGGUGCCGUCCGCCCUCCAGAAGACGUACGCGAAGCGACAAGGAAAGCCUUCCACCAAAAUGAGCUGUGAUAUCCUUUUGAUGGGUAUAAUUUAUUCCAAAUCGUCCCUGGACUGA
rnacentral:lncRNA from 1 species